GAAAAGGGAUGGUGAUGCUUACAGGACAGAGGCAACUGCAAAUAUCAGACUGCCUGGCUCCAGUGCCUGCUGCAGGACAGCUCUGUGAGCCUGGUCCAGGAAAGCUUCCUGGUGGAGGAGAAUUUCUGUCUUGCCUACAUCAAGAGAGAAUGAAGAGAAUGGAUAGAAGAAAGAAUGGAGAGAAGAGGACCAGCAUCUCCAAGGUGGAGGAACAGUUACCUUCUACCCAUCAGUAUGGCUGCACAGCAGAGCCGGAGGCUUCCCCAUGAGACACUGAGUCUAAUACACCUGCUCACUCCCAGAAGUUCAAGGGAGUUCUGAGGGAAGGAUGGAUGGACCCUCUCAGAGCUCCAAUUCCCCGCUCCUUCCUGAUACUUCUGCCACCCGACCCCAUGUUCAUUUCUCAAGGAGGGCAGCACCGUGGGUGUGUUGGUCAGGACACUUCUUUAUUAGUAGGCUGCCCUUUGCAACACAAACCAUUUAGCAUCCUACAUGGUUAGCAUUCAAGACCCUUCAUCUUGACCCUGGUUCUAAAUGCUAGUGGCAUUGCCCAGUCACUGUGACAUUCAAAACACCCCCACACAUUCCCAGCAUUGCCCACUCUUUACCCCUUUGAGAACUAUUUUGAGAGAUUGUCCAGGCAAGACUUGCAAAGAGAAUGGCCUCAAACCUGUUUAGCCAACAUUAUCCCACACCCCCCGCCCCCACCACCACAUGCAGGUAACAGAAAGUGAGGACUUUAGAAAGUGAAAAUCUCUGAGGAUACAUUUGGG
rnacentral:lncRNA from 1 species